CAAGAUUCCGGUUUAUAAAGUAUUACGUUUGUCUCGAAGGACCAAAUAAUGUUGACAACGAGACUAUAUGUCCAAGAGUGAGGAGCGAUAUUUUGCUGUUUUAUGGCGUCGACAUUUCUGCAGUCUUAAUUGAUCUAAUAACACUCAUUUUUGUUUCUCCCCACAUUAGCAAUAUUUGAGUGGAAUCGAAAUGAAGCUUGCGAUAUUAUAUAUUUGCCUUCUUCAAUUUGCGGCUGUCAACUGUAGGCUUGCUGCGCGUGACAAGACACAUCUUGUUAAAAUUAAAGGAACCGACAAUUUGUCAUCAAAUGAUCUUACGGCCAAGGAAAUAGAGCUGUGGAACCAGGCGAAACCCAGAAGGUUGUUUGCCAGAAGAGGAAUCCAGGAACGCCAGAGAUUGCAUGUGACGCCCAAGGUGAAGCCUGCCCCCCCGACCCCUAAUUGUUCCAAGGUGAUGGAGAGCUGUAUUCCCCACUCUCGCUGCUGUGAUCCCUGUGCACAUUCCUGUCAGCUUCUUCAAUUCCAUCUGCUACUGCUGGAAACUGGGAUGCCACUGCCAGAAGAAAUCUUAACAUACUGACACAGACACACACACACACACACACACACAUGCACAAAACAUUCCACUGUACUGCUGGGCACUGGGCUGUCAUACCUGAAGAUCUGAAGACAUACGUUUACAUACACUCACACGUACACACCACGGGACACACAAUCACUUAUCCUCUAGUGCUGCCUGGAAGUAGCCCACCUACCUCCCCUUCAACCCCUGUACCACCUUAUACACUCAUCAUGUGCUACAAUAUUAUACAAUAUUCGUAGACUACAUUAUGUUUACAUGUAUUUACUGUAUAUGUCAACACUAUCUACAUGUAAAGUCAGAUAUAUUUGUGGGGUAUAAUAUAAUUAGGAUAUACCUGACUGAAACUGCAAAUAAGCUAAUUUUGGACUGCCCAAAUGUCUUAAUAAGCAGUAGUUUUUAUAAGGGCUAAGGAUAUACUUUCCAUAUAUUUUCUCUCCACUGUGUAAUUGUUUUUUACUGUAGGUUUGAGAGCAGACAAAAACCCACAAGUGGAAUAAUGGUGGGAUAGUUAUACAUUAUGUAUGCUAAUGAAUGGCAAUAAACAUUUUAUAUUCAUGAUAAGCCAAAAUUACUCAACAUUUAUUUAGGUAGCUGUAAAGACAUAAUGCAUUAUGUUGCAGGCUUCAAGCAAAGAGUUGCAGAAAAUAGCACAUGUUCCCUUGAUGUUAGGUGGCUUAGUGACAAGCUCCAGCCUUACUAGUGAGAAACUAGCAAAUGUAGGAUAGCCCGAGUGCCCGUCUGGUUUUGCUAUCAUGCCAACUCCUUGUCACUCUGUGCGUUUUGGCUAGACAAAGGACAGCAAUAGAGUUGGAUCGAGAGCUCAAAAAUAUCUAGGUUAAGGGUGGUACAGUAGUUUGCUUCUGGUAGCGCCAAUGUUGCAGACUAUUUUAUCUCUUCUUUUCAAUAAAAGGACUGCUUGUCAGCACAAACUUUACCCAAUACAAACCAAUACUGCCUUACAAAGGCAAAACACAGUAACUACACUUUUGGUCAAAAUUGAGUUAAGACUGAAAUCAGGCUUUGUAGUAUCUGUUUUAUUUUGUGACAAAGUUUCCUGGUUCAAUUAUGUUCCGUUUCAGAGAAAGUGGUGUGUGAAAUUUGCGUUAAAUGCAGAAUCCAAGUAAAACCAAGGGAAAACCUGGUGAUCUGAAAAUAAUAUUUGAGUUCCGGAAAAUCGUUGGCAAUAGAAAGAAGUGUAAGGAACUGGUACCACCGUGUUUUGACAACAGUUACCCGCUCUGCCAUACAAAGGCAAAGAGCAGUAACUACAAAAACAGUGAAACUGAGAAAAAUGGCUUUAAAGUUGAUUUGCUUUCCAGACAAAUAUGUUGUGGGUAGAUAAGUGAAGUAAUUUUUUACGCAUAUCAACCAUGACCACUGAUUUAAACUAUGGACCUUAAGUCAAAUAAAUUACCAUACAACGUCAAACAUGAAAAACAACAAGAAAGUUGGAUAAACACAUUUAGAUUGUAUAUACAUUUUUUAAGUAUAAACAUUCUGCGUGGUGAAAUAGUCCUUACCUUAUGGUGGAAGAAAUGCUUGAGGGUUG